CCUGCUUCCAGGAAAAGCCUCUAAGCAUCAGGUAACAUCAAAUCGUACCCCAAACCGACACAGGUGGUCAGGUAGAGAAUACCAAGGCGCUUGAGAGAACUCGGGUGAAGGAACUAGGCAAAAUGGUGCCGUAACUUCGGGAGAAGGCACGCUGAUAUGUAGGUGAAGUCCCUCGCGGAUGGAGCUGAAAUCAGUCGAAGAUACCAGCUGGCUGCAACUGUUUAUUAAAAACACAGCACUGUGCAAACACGAAAGUGGACGUAUACGGUGUGACGCCUGCCCGGUGCCGGAAGGUUAAUUGAUGGGGUUAGCGCAAGCGAAGCUCUUGAUCGAAGCCCCGGUAAACGGCGGCCGUAACUAUAACGGUCCUAAGGUAGCGAAAUUCCUUGUCGGGUAAGUUCCGACCUGCACGAAUGGCGUAAUGAUGGCCAGGCUGUCUCCACCCGAGACUCAGUGAAAUUGAACUCGCUGUGAAGAUGCAGUGUACCCGCGGCAAGACGGAAAGACCCCGUGAACCUUUACUAUAGCUUGACACUGAACAUUGAGCCUUGAUGUGUAGGAUAGGUGGGAGGCUUUGAAGUGUGGACGCCAGUCUGCAUGGAGCCGACCUUGAAAUACCACCCUUUAAUGUUUGAUGUUCUAACGUUGACCCGUAAUCCGGGUUGCGGACAGUGUCUGGUGGGUAGUUUGACUGGGGCGGUCUCCUCCUAAAGAGUAACGGAGGAGCACGAAGGUUGGCUAAUCCUGGUCGGACAUCAGGAGGUUAGUGCAAUGGCAUAAGCCAGCUUGACUGCGAGCGUGACGGCGCGAGCAGGUGCGAAAGCAGGUCAUAGUGAUCCGGUGGUUCUGAAUGGAAGGGCCAUCGCUCAACGGAUAAAAGGUACUCCGGGGAUAACAGGCUGAUACCGCCCAAGAGUUCAUAUCGACGGCGGUGUUUGGCACCUCGAUGUCGGCUCAUCACAUCCUGGGGCUGAAGUAGGUCCCAAGGGUAUGGCUGUUCGCCAUUUAAAGUGGUACGCGAGCUGGGUUUAGAACGUCGUGAGACAGUUCGGUCCCUAUCUGCCGUGGGCGCUGGAGAACUGAGGGGGGCUGCUCCUAGUACGAGAGGACCGGAGUGGACGCAUCACUGGUGUUCGGGUUGUCAUGCCAAUGGCACUGCCCGGUAGCUAAAUGCGGAAGAGAUAAGUGCUGAAAGCAUCUAAGCACGAAACUUGCCCCGAGAUGAGUUCUCCCUGACUCCUUGAGAGUCCUGAAGGAACGUUGAAGACGACGACGUUGAUAGGCCGGGUGUGUAAGCGCAGCGAUGCGUUGAGCUAACCGGUACUAAUGAACCGUGAGGCUUAA
rnacentral:rRNA from 1 species